GAGCGGACAGAUGGGAGCUUGCUCCCUGAUGUUAGCGGCGGACGGGUGAGUAACACGUGGGUAACCUGCCUGUAAGACUGGGAUAACUCCGGGAAACCGGGGCUAAUACCGGAUGGUUGUUUGAACCGCAUGGUUCAAACAUAAAAGGUGGCUUCGGCUACCACUUACAGAUGGACCCGCGGCGCAUUAGCUAGUUGGUGAGGUAACGGCUCACCAAGGCAACGAUGCGUAGCCGACCUGAGAGGGUGAUCGGCCACACUGGGACUGAGACACGGCCCAGACUCCUACGGGAGGCAGCAGUAGGGAAUCUUCCGCAAUGGACGAAAGUCUGACGGAGCAACGCCGCGUGAGUGAUGAAGGUUUUCGGAUCGUAAAGCUCUGUUGUUAGGGAAGAACAAGUACCGUUCGAAUAGGGCGGUACCUUGACGGUACCUAACCAGAAAGCCACGGCUAACUACGUGCCAGCAGCCGCGGUAAUACGUAGGUGGCAAGCGUUGUCCGGAAUUAUUGGGCGUAAAGGGCUCGCAGGCGGUUUCUUAAGUCUGAUGUGAAAGCCCCCGGCUCAACCGGGGAGGGUCAUUGGAAACUGGGGAACUUGAGUGCAGAAGAGGAGAGUGGAAUUCCACGUGUAGCGGUGAA
rnacentral:rRNA from 1 species